rnacentral:rRNA from 1 species
AGUGAGCGCUGGCGGCGUGCUUAACACAUGCAAGUCGAACGAGAACGGGUUAUAGCUUGCUAUAACUGUCAGCUAAGUGGCGCACGGGUGAGUAAUAUAUAGUUAACCUGCCCUAGAGAAGGGGAUAACGUUUGGAAACGGACACUAACACCUCAUAUGCCUUUAGGUCAUAAGACUGCAAGGGAAACAUUUAUGGCUCUAGGAUGGGACUGUAUGGUAUCAGUUAGUCGGUGAGGUAAUGGCUCACCAAGACAAUGACACCUAACUGGUUUGAGAGGAUGAUCAGUCACACUGGAACUGAGACACGGUCCAG